AGAUAAAUGUACCAAGGCGUGUUAGGUAGAUGAUACAUUUACACUGUACAUGUGAAUGUGUGUGUAAGCGUCAGAGGACGUCCAGGUCUUAGUUGAGACAAAA